GUUAGGGUUAGGGUUAGGGUUAGGGUUGGAGCUAGGGUUAGGGUUAGGGUUAGGGUUGGAGUUAGGGUUAGUGUUGGAGCUAGGGUUAGGGUUGGGCUUGGAGCUAGGAUUUUUCUGAGUGCACUGAACCAACUCCCGAGUCUCUAGGACAUUCCUAAAAAAAUUGAUUUUUUCCCAUAGGAAUGCAUGGGUUAGGGUUAUGGUUAGGGUUAGGGUUGGAGCUAGGGUUAGGGUUAGGGUUAGGGUUGGAGUUAGGGUUAGUGUUGGAGCUAGGGUUAGGGUUGGGCUUGGAGCUAGGAUUUUUCUGAGUGCAAUGAACCAACUCCCGAGUCUCUAGGACGUUCCUAAAAAAAUUUUGAUUUUUUCCCAUAGGAAUGCAUGGGUUAGGGUUAGGGUUAGGGUUGGAGCUAGGGUUAGGGUUAGGGUUAGGGUUGGAGUUAGGGUUAGUGUUGGAGCUAGGGUUAGGGUUGGGCUUGGAGCUAGGAUUUUUCUGAGUGCACUGAACCAACUCCCGAGUGUCUAGGACAUUCCUAAAAAAAUUUGAUUUUUUCCCAUAGGAAUGCAUGGGUUAGGGUUAUGGUUAGGGUUAGGGUUGGAGCUAGGGUUAGGGUUAGGGUUAGGGUUGGAGUUAGGGUUAGUGUUGGAGCUAGGGUUAGGGUUGGGCUUGGAGCUAGGAUUUUUCUGAGUGCACUGAACCAACUCCCGAGUCUCUAGGACGUUCCUAAAAAAAAUUGAUUUUUUCCCAUAGGAAUGCAUGGGUUAGGGUUAGGGUUAGGGUUGGAGCUAGGGUUAGGGUUAGGGUUAGGGUUGGAGUUAGGGUUAGUGUUGGAGCUAGGGUUAGGGUUGGGCUUGGAGCUAGGAUUUUUCUGAGUGCACUGAACCAACUCCCGAGUCUCUAGGACAUUCCUAAAAAAAAUUGAUUUUUUCCCAUAGGAAUGCAUGGGUUAGGGUUAUGGUUAGGGUUAGGGUUGGAGCUAGGGUUAGGGUUAGGGUUAGGGUUGGAGUUAGGGUUAGUGUUGGAGCUAGGGUUAGGGUUGGGCUUGGAGCUAGGAUUUUUCUGAGUGCAAUGAACCAACUCCCGAGUCUCUAGGACGUUCCUAAAAAAAUUUGAUUUUUUCCCAUAGGAAUGCAUGGGUUAGGGUUAGGGUUAGGGUUGGAGCUAGGGUUAGGGUUAGGGUUAGGGUUGGAGUUAGGGUUAGUGUUGGAGCUAAGGUUAGGGUUGGGCUUGGAGCUAGGAUUUUUCUGAGUGCACUGAACCAACUCCCGAGUCUCUAGGACAUUCCUAAAAAAAUUUGAUUUUUUCCCAUAGGAAUGCAUGGGUUAGGGUUAUGGUUAGGGUUAGGGUUGGAGCUAGGGUUAGGGUUAGGGUUAGGGUUGGAGUUAGGGUUAGUGUUGGAGCUAGGGUUAGGGUUGGGCUUGGAGCUAGGAUUUUUCUGAGUGCAAUGAACCAACUCCCGAGUCUCUAGGACGUUCCUAAAAAAAUUUGAUUUUUUCCCAUAGGAAUGCAUGGGUUAGGGUUAGGGUUAGGGUUGGAGCUAGGGUUAGGGUUAGGGUUAGUGUUAGGGUUAGGGUUGGAGUUAGGGUUAGUGUUGGAGCUAGGGUUAGGGUUGGGCUUGGAGCUAGGAUUUUUCUGAGUGCACUGAACCAACUCCCGAGUCUCUAGGACAUUCCUAAAAAAAUUUGAUUUUUUUCCCAUAGGAAUGCAUGGGUUAGGGUUAUGGUUAGGGUUAGGGUUGGAGCUAGGGUUAGGGUUAGGGUUAGGGUUGGAGUUAGGGUUAGUGUUGGAGCUAGGGUUAGGGUUGGGCUUGGAGCUAGGAUUUUUCUGAGUGCACUGAACCAACUCCCGAGUCUCUAGGACGUUCCUAAAAAAAUUUGAUUUUUUCCCAUAGGAAUGCAUGGGUUAGGGUUAGGGUUAGGGUUGGAGCUAGGGUUAGGGUUGGAGCUAGGGUUAGGGUUAGGGUUGGAGUUAGGGUUAGUGUUGGAGCUAGGGUUAGGGUUGGGCUUGGAGCUAGGAUUUUUCUGAGUGCACUGAACCAACUCCCGAGUCUCUAGGACAUUCCUAAAAAAAUUUGAUUUUUUCCCAUAGGAAUGCAUGGGUUAGGGUUAUGGUUAGGGUUAGGGUUGGAGCUAGGGUUAGGGUUAGGGUUAGGGUUAGGGUUGGAGUUAGGGUUAGUGUUGGAGCUAGGGUUAGGGUUGGGCUUGGAGCUAGGAUUUUUCUGAGUGCACUGAACCAACUCCCGAGUCUCUAGGACAUUCCUAAAAAAAUUUGAUUUUUUCCCAUAGGAAUGCAUGGGUUAGGGUUAUGGUUAGGGUUAGGGUUGGAGCUAGGGUUAGGGUUAGGGUUAGGGUUGGAGUUAGGGUUAGUGUUGGAGCUAGGGUUAGGGUUGGGCUUGGAGCUAGGAUUUUUCUGAGUGCAAUGAACCAACUCCCGAGUCUCUAGGACGUUCCUAAAAAAUUUUGAUUUUUUCCCAUAGGAAUGCAUGGGUUAGGGUUAGGGUUAGGGUUGGAGCUAGGGUUAGGGUUAGGGUUAGGGUUGGAGUUAGGGUUAGUGUUGGAGCUAGGGUUAGGGUUGGGCUUGGAGCUAGGAUUUUUCUGAGUGCACUGAACCAACUCCCGAGUCUCUAGGACAUUCCUAAAAAAAUUUGAUAUUUUUCCCAUAGGAAUGCAUGGGUUAGGGUUAUGGUUAGGGUUAGGGUUGGAGCUAGGGUUAGGGUUAGGUUUAGGGUUGGAGUUAGGGUUAGUGUUGGAGCUAGGGUUAGGGUUGGACUUGGAGCUAGGAUUUUUCUGAGUGCAAUGAACCAACUCCCGAGUCUCUAGGACGUUCCUAAAAAAAUUUGAUUUUUUCCCAUAGGAAUGCAUGGGUUAGGGUUAGGGUUAGGGUUGGAGCUAGGGUUAGGGUUAGGGUUAGGGUUGGAGUUAGGGUUAGUGUUGGAGCUAAGGUUAGGGUUGGGCUUGGAGCUAGGAUUUUUCUGAGUGCACUGAACCAACUCCCGAGUCUCUAGGACAUUCCUAAAAAAAUUUGAUUUUUUUCCCAUAGGAAUGAAUGGGUUAGGGUUAUGGUUAGGGUUAGGGUUGGAGCUAGGGUUAGGGUUAGGGUUAGGGUUGGAGUUAGGGUUAGUGUUGGAGCUAGGGUUAGGGUUGGGCUUGGAGCUAGGAUUUUUC
rnacentral:lncRNA from 1 species